UCUCUCUCUCUCUCUCUCUCUCUCUGUGUGUAUGCCUCUCUGUGUGUAUGUGUGUGUGUGUGUAGAAGAAUAUGCCACCUUCUGAGUCCUGAUCAUUAAAUGAGGGAACAAAACACCUGUGUUGGGAGUCGGGCGGUAGUACAGCAGGUUAAGUGCACGUGGCACAAAGC